rnacentral:sRNA from 1 species
GAGAGAGAGAGAGAGAGAGAGAGAGAGAGAGAGAGAGAGAGAGAGAGAGUUUUUACGGGUAUCACUCUGGUUUUUUUUCAACUGUGAGAUGGUUUAAUUUCUUUAUCAAACUUAUUCAGAAGGCUGGAUGGUUGUGGUCAUUUUUAGACUAUAUAUAUUUUCUUGAGAAGAAGAGUGCUGUAUAAAAAUAUAGUAGAUGUAAUCAAAUUUACAAACUAAAAUGUAUGAAAUUUUUCCCCCCAAGGAAUAGCUCAUACCGUAGCUUAAAACAGCAAAUCUAAACAAAUUUAAGGUAGAUCUGAUAGUUAUGUGGAAUCAUUUUGUGAGUGCUCAAUUUCCGUGGUAUUCGUGGGUAGCCCCCCCCCCCCCCACGAAUUUAAAUCCUCAACGAAAAGAAUUUUAGAAAGAGUUAUCUUUGUUACUGAAACAGUUUGACGCAUCCACGAAAUAACACCCCCGCGAAUGAAUAAAAAACUCACAAUCCACGAAAAUUGGCCCCCACGAAUUUAAAUGAUUCUACUGUAGUAAUUUGUACAACUAGCCUCCUAACAACAAUUUAUUAUUUAAAAAAAAAUUCAAUCUUAUAUUGUCAAAACUUAUCAAUGUCUACAUGUAAAAGUAUAGGUAGAUAAUGCGUGCAGGUGGUUUUUUUUAAACAUAUUCUUUGAUGUAUCCAAAUUAUAUCCCCACGUGGCAAACUGCAAUGAGUAAAUUUUUCACAAGGAAUAUGAAGAAAACAAGCAAACGGUCCUCACAGUGUAAUAAUUGUAUUGCACCAUAAUUAUUCGUUUCCAUAUAAGUUCGACCUUGCCUUUGUGACCUCAAAAUUAAGAAGGGUCAUACACUUCUUAUUGAGUUUUUGUAUACUAAUUUUGAACUUAUUGUUGAUCGGACAACAAACCUAGCAACCGAUUGGCGCAAAACAUUAUGCCCCCCUAUUUAGACAAGGCCAUAAAAGCUGCUUUCAAAUUAUAAAUAUGACAUGCAAAUUAUUUUUGAAAAUUAAUUAAUUGUUGUACAUGUAUUUCACUACAGGUAUAUAGCAAUAUAUUUUUCUUAUUUGAUAGUGCAUGACAUCAAAUAUCUUGCUUUUAGAAUUUUUCAAAAACAAUGUUAUCUUCUUUUUUCUUGUGUACUCAAUAGAUUAGAAUUUAAAUAAAUAAAAUAAUAAAAUACUUAU